GACGAACGCUGGCAGCGUGCCUAAUACAUGCAAGUCGAGCGAAGUUUUCUGGUGCUUGCACUAGAAAAACUUAGCGGCGAACGGGUGAGUAACACGUAAAGAACCUGCCUCAUAGACUGGGACAACUAUUGGAAACGAUAGCUAAUACCGGAUAACAGCAUUAACUGCAUGGUUGAUGUUUAAAAGUUGGUUUUGCUAACACUAUGAGAUGGCUUUGCGGUGCAUUAGCUAGUUGGUGGGGUAAAGGCCUACCAAGGCGACGAUGCAUAGCCGACCUGAGAGGGUGAUCGGCCACACUGGGACUGAGACACGGCCCAGACUCCUACGGGAGGCAGCAGUAGGGAAUCUUCCGCAAUGGGCGAAAGCCUGACGGAGCAACGCCGCGUGAGUGAAGAAGGAUUUCGGUUCGUAAAGCUCUGUUGUUAGGGAAGAAUGAUUGUGUAGUAACUAUACACAGUAGAGACGGUACCUAACCAGAAAGCCACGGCUAACUACGUG
rnacentral:rRNA from 1 species